rnacentral:rRNA from 1 species
UAGGGAAUCUUCCGCAAUGGACGAAAGUCUGACGGAGCGACGCCGCGUGAGCGAAGAAGGUCUUCGGAUCGUAAAGCUCUGUUGUUAGGGAAGAAGAAGUGCCGUUCGAACAGGGCGGCGCGGUGACGGUACCUAACGAGAAAGCCCCGGCUAACUACGUGCCAGCAGCCGCGGUAAUACGUAGGGGGCGAGCGUUGUCCGGAAUUAUUGGGCGUAAAGCGCGCGCAGGCGGUCCCUUAAGUCUGAUGUGAAAGCCCACGGCUUAACCGUGGAGGGUCAUUGGAAACUGGGGGACUUGAGUGCAGAAGAGGAGAGCGGAAUUCCACGUGUAACGGUGAAAUGCGUAGAGAUGUGGAGGAACACCAGUGGCGAAGGCGGCUCUCUGGUCUGUAACUGACGCUGAGGCGCGAAAGCGUGGGGAGCAAACAGG